rnacentral:rRNA from 1 species
AUUGAACGCUGGCGGCAGGCCUAACACAUGCAAGUCGAGCGAGCGGCGGACGGGUGAGUAAUGUAUGGGGACUGCCCGAUAGAGGGGGAUAACUACUGGAAACGGUAGCUAAUACCGCAUACUAUCGGAUAACCCAUAUGGGGUUAGCUGGUAGGUGGGGUAAUGGCUCACCUCGGCGCCGAACCCCAGCUGUUCUGAGAGGAUGAUCAGCCACAUUGGGACUGAGACACGGCCCAGAACCCUACGGAGGCAGCAGUGGGGAAUAUUGCACAAUGGGCGCAAGCCUGAUGCAGCCAGGCCGCGUGUAUGAAGAAGGCCCUAGGGUUGUAAAGUACUUUCAGUCGGGAGGCGUUACCGACAGAAGAAGCACCGGCUAACUCCGUGCCAGCAGCCGCGGUAAUAC